rnacentral:rRNA from 1 species
AUUGAACGCUGGCGGAAUGCUUUACACAUGCAAGUCGAACGGCAGCACGGGGCAACCUGGUGGCGAGUGGCGAACGGGUGAGUAAUAUAUCGGAACGUGCCCAAUCGUGGGGGAUAACGUAGCGAAAGUUACGCUAAUACCGCAUACGAUCUACGGAUGAAAGCGGGGGAUCGCAAGACCUCGCGCGAAUGGAGCGGCCGAUAUCAGAUUAGGUAGUUGGUGGGGUAAAGGCUCACCAAGCCAACGAUCUGUAGCUGGUCUGAGAGGACGACCGGCCACACUGGGACUGAGACACGGCCCAGACUCCUACGGGAGGCAGCAGUGGGGAAUAUUGCGCAAUGGGGGGAACCCUGACGCAGCAACGCCGCGUGAGUGAAGAAGGCCUUCGGGUCGUAAAGCUCUGUCGAGAGGGAAGAAGUCUUUGGAGCGAAUAGCUUUAGAGGUGACGGUACCUUUUGAGGAAGCCCCGGCUAACUACGUGCCAGCAGCCGCGGUAAAGCUACGU